rnacentral:lncRNA from 1 species
GUUGAAGACUGUAGGAAGUUAAUCUUUUGUUGUACUCCUCGGCAACCUAAAUUUUGGAUAGCAAUGUAAUAGGUUAGCCUUGAGUUGAGUGCUCCUCCUGUGUUAAAGGACUAGCAAUAUAGUGAUCUUGGUAAAAUCGGUUCCUUUUGGGACCCGCCUUAGAUGCCGAAGUGUGUAAGUUUUUGUGCUGUGACCACACGCAGGUUUUCGUUCCUUUAGGUCUGUCCAAAGUAUGGCCGACCCCAGGUCGCAAGGUUGGAUGCGCCCGACCCCUCGCGGUAGGUCUCCGCCUCGCCCGACCCCUUGUUGCACGGCUCCGCUUCGCCCGACCCGAGCACUUAAGGUCGGACAUAGUGGAACCCAUGGGAUGAUGUUUUGACUCACCUAAGGUUGUCUGCAGACCAGCCGAUGAGAACAUGGAUCUUGUGGAACCUACUGAGUAUGGAUCAAAACACCUUUCCGAUCGGUUAGCAAAGUAAUACGACCAUGCAGAACCAAG